rnacentral:tRNA from 1 species
GCUCGCGUGGCGUAAUGGCAACGCGUCUGACUUCUAAUCAGAAGAUUAUGGGUUCGACCCCCAUCGUGAGUGUUGUUUUGUG